rnacentral:rRNA from 1 species
ACCCGCACAAGCAGCGGAGCGUGUGGUUUAAUUCGUUGCUACACGAAGAACCUUACCUGGGUUUGACAUAUAGGUUGUAGGGAACUGAAAAGGGACCGACCUUCGGGGAGCCUAUACAGGUGUUGCAUGGCUGUCGUCAGCUCGUGUCGUGAGAUGUUCGGUUAAGUCCGCUAACGAGCGCAACCCUCGUCGUAUGUUAUAUGUGUCAUACGAGACUGCCGGUAAAAAGCCGGAGGAAGGUGAGGAUGACGUCAAGUCAGCAUGACCUUUAUAUCCAGGGCUACACACACGCUACAAUGGUCUGUACAAUGGGUAGCCAAGCCGCGAGGCGGAGCCAAUCCUGAAAGCAGGCCUCAGUUCAGAUUGCAGUCUGCAACUCGACUGCAUGAAGCCGGAGUUGCUAGUAACCGCAGGUCAGCAAUACUGCGGUGAAUACGUUCCCGGGGCUU